GAUGAACGCUAGCUACAGGCUUAACACAUGCAAGUCGAGGGACCGGCGCACGGGUGAGUAACACGUAUCCAACCUGCCCUUUACUCGGGGAUAGCCUUUCGAAAGAAAGAUUAAUACCCUAUAUAAAGGAUGGGGAUGCGUUCCAUUAGGUUGUUGGUGAGGUCACGGCCCACCAAGCCUUCGAUGGCUAGGGGUUCUGAGAGGAAGGUCCCCCACAUUGGAACUGGGACCCGGUCCAAACUCGUACGGGAGGUAGGAGUGAGGAAUAUUGGGCAGUGGGCGUUAGCCUGAACCAGCCAAGUAGCGUGAAGGAUGAAGGCUUAUGGAUCGUAAACUUCUUUGAUGUAAGAAUAUGUAUUAUAUGAAUAAGGAUCGGCUAACUCCGUGCCAGCAGCCGCGGUAAUUC
rnacentral:rRNA from 1 species